UGGGUGAGUAACACGUGGGUAACCUGCCCAUAAGACUGGGAUAACUCCGGGAAACCGGGGCUAAUACCGGAUAACAUUUUGAACCGCAUGGUUCGAAAUUGAAAGGCGGCUUCGGCUGUCACUUAUGGAUGGACCCGCGUCGCAUUAGCUAGUUGGUGAGGUAACGGCUCACCAAGGCAACGAUGCGUAGCCGACCUGAGAGGGUGAUCGGCCACACUGGGACUGAGACACGGCCCAGACUCCUACGGGAGGCAGCAGUAGGGAAUCUUCCGCAAUGGACGAAAGUCUGACGGAGCAACGCCGCGUGAGUGAUGAAGGCUUUCGGGUCGUAAAACUCUGUUGUUAGGGAAGAACAAGUGCUAGUUGAAUAAGCUGGCACCUUGACGGUACCUAACCAGAAAGCCACGGCUAACUACGUGCCAGCAGCCGCGGUAAUACGUAGGUGGCAAGCGUUAUCCGGAAUUAUUGGGCGUAAAGCGCGCGC
rnacentral:rRNA from 2 species